ACUCAAAUGAAUUGACGGGGACCCGCACAAGCGGUGGAGCGUGUUGUUUAAUUCGAUGAUAAGCGAAGAACCUUACCAGGGCUUGACAUCCUACUAAUUUCUGCGAAAGCAGAGAGUGUCUUCGGACCGUAGUGACAGGUGCUGCAUGGCCGUCGUCAGCUCGUGUCGUGAGAUGUUUGGUUAAGUCCAUCAACGAGCGCAACCCUUGUGAUUAGUUGGAUUUUUCUAAUCAGACUGCCCCGGUAACGGGGAGGAAGGAGGGGAUGAUGUCAGGUCAGUAUUGCCCUUACGUCCUGGGCUACAAACACGCUACAAUGGCCGGUACAAAGGGCUGCCAAGUCGCGAGACGGAGCAAACCCCAUCAAAACCGGUCUCAGUUCGGAUAGCAGGCUGAAACUCGCCUGCUUGAAGCUGGAAUCGCUAGUAACGGUAGGUCAGCACACUACCGUGAAUACGUUCCCGGGUCUUGUACACACCGCCCGU
rnacentral:rRNA from 1 species